UACAGAGGUCUCAAGCGUUGUUCGGAUUCAUUGGGCGUAAAGGGUGCGUAGGUGGCGCGCUAAGUCAGGUGUGAAAUCUCGGGGCUUAACUCCGAAACUGCAUUUGAUACUGGCGUGCUUGAGGACUGGAGAGGAGACUGGAAUUCAUGGUGUAGCAGUGAAAUGCGUAGAGAUCAUGAGGAACACCGGUGGCGAAGGCGGGUCUCUGGGCCGAUACUGACGCUGGAGGAGCGAAAGCGUGGGGAGCGAACAGG
rnacentral:rRNA from 1 species